UUAAAUUGAAGAGUUUGAUCAUGGCUCAGAUUGAACGCUGGCGGCAGGCCUAACACAUGCAAGUCGAACGGUAACAGGAAGCAGCUUGCUGCUUCGCUGACGAGUGGCGGACGGGUGAGUAAUGUCUGGGAAACUGCCUGAUGGAGGGGGAUAACUACUGGAAACGGUGGCUAAUACCGCAUAACGUCGCAAGACCAAAGAGGGGGACCUUCGGGCCUCUUGCCAUCAGAUGUGCCCAGAUGGGAUUAGCUUGUUGGUGAGGUAACGGCUC
rnacentral:rRNA from 2 species